UCUACCUGUUCUCGUCCGAUUAUCAAAGUUAAGCAACGUGGGGCCUGGUCAGUUCGUAGAUAGGUGACCGCUUGGGAAUGCCAAGUGCUGUAAG